rnacentral:rRNA from 1 species
CCCUUAGAUGUUCUGGGCCGCACGCGCGCUACACUGACGAUGGCAACGAGUUUUUCCUUCGCCGAAAGGUGUGGGUAAUCUUUUGAAACAUCGUCGUGCUGGGGAUAGAUCAUUGCAAUUUUUGAUCUUGAACGAGGAAUUCCUAGUAAGCAUAAGUCAUCAGCUUGUGCUGAUUACGUCCCUGCCCUUUGUACACACCGCCCGUCGCCGCUACCGAUUGAAUGUGUUGGUGAGGAGCUCGGAUUGGCAGCAGUUGGUGGUUCGCCACCGGCUAUUGCUGAGAAGUCCUCCAAACCGCCCCAUUUAGAGGAAGGAGAAGUCGUAACA